rnacentral:rRNA from 1 species
AUGGCGCCGCCGCUAUUCGUUCUCCUCCUCCUCUGCAUUGCUGCCUUGCCGAGAGACACCGCUGCGCUAACCCGCCGUGACUUCCCUGACGGGUUCAUCUUCGGCGCGGGCACCUCGGCCUUCCAGGUGGAAGGGGCUGCUGCAGAAGAUGGGAGGAAGCCCAGCAUCUGGGACACCUUCACCCAUCAAGGUUACUCCUAUGAUAAAUCUACCGCAGAUAUUUCAGCAAAUCAGUAUCACCAUUAUAAGGAUGAUGUAAAACUUAUGUAUGAGAUGGGUUUAGACGCGUACAGAUUCUCCAUCGCAUGGCCCCGGCUUAUACCAGAUGGAAGAGGAGAGAUCAAUCCGAAGGGCUUGGAGUACUACAACAACUUAAUAGAUGAAUUGAUACGGCAUGGCAUACAACCUCAUGUCACAAUCUACCAUUUCGAUCUCCCUCAAUCCCUUCAGGACGAAUACAACGGACUGCUCAGCCCCAGAUUCAUAGACGAUUACACCGCGUAUGCUGAAGCCUGCUUCAAGAGCUUCGGGGACAGGGUGAAACACUGGGUCACCGUCAACGAGCCCAACAUAGAGACCAUUGGAGGCUUCGACGGUGGCGUGUUGCCACCGCAGCGCUGCUCCCAUCCCUUCGGUGUGAACUGCACUGGAGGGAAUUCCACGACAGAGCCGUACAUAGCCGCCCACCACCUCCUGCUUGCACAUGCCUCAGCAGUGUCCCUCUAUAGAGCCAAGUACCAGGCAACUCAAAGAGGACAGAUAGGAAUUACUCUCUUGGGCUGGUGGCAUGAGCCGGCUACCAAUUCAUCACAGGACGCAGCUGCUGCAACGAGGAUGAAUGACUUCCACAUUGGAUGGUUUAUGCAUCCUUUGGUGUAUGGGGACUACCCUGCUGUGAUGAGGAGCAGGGCAGGAGCACAGCUGCCGGAUUUAACAGUGGAGCAGUCUAAUAAAUUGCGCGGAGCAUUCGACUUCAUCGGCCUCAAUCACUACCUCGUUGUUCGGGCGCGAGCCGACGGCAGCACUUUCAAUCUGGAGCAGAGAGACUACUAUGCUGACGCAUACGCCAUCGCAAAUCCAUUCGAUGAUAUCCAAGAGGGCCGCCUUGAGUAUGCUCCUUGGGCUCUAGGGAAGUUACUGGACCACCUGAAAAUCAAGUACGGGAAUCCACCAGUCAUGAUCCAUGAAAACGGAUACGCAGACGCCUCCGAACUCCCGCGGAAGGUCGAGUACGAGGACGACAGCAGAUCAGAGUUCCUGCAAGAUUAUCUGGAAGUUCUCUAUCUGUCCAUAAGGAACGGAUCGGACGUGCGGGGAUACUUUGUGUGGUCUUUCCUCGACGUGUUUGAGUUCCUCUUCGGCUACCGUUCGCGUUACGGUCUGUGCGGCGUCGACAUGAACAGCGAGGGGAGGACAAGAUACGUGAGGAACUCUGCCCACUGGUACUCUGGCUUUCUCAAAGGCGGCGAGCUGCGGCCGGCGUCAUCGCCGGGGAAAGCCUACGCCGCCGCAUGA